rnacentral:lncRNA from 1 species
GCACACAGCACAAGUGCACGCUGCGGCCGAGGGGAAGGCCUCCUAGGAGAGGACGGGGCCAGGCACAGAACGAGCUCCCCAGGCCCAGCUGGUGCCUGCCUGGCCGAGCCCGGGAGAGAAAGCCCACCCUGCGGAGCCGAGCCCGCCGCUCCAGCCUCAGCCCUGUCCUGGUUCCUCGGGGGCCUGAGUGGGGCCCACAGCUGACUCACUGAGAAGAGAUGCGUCUGAAGCGUGCGGGGCAACGUGGGAGGACGAUCUGUCUGACUCCCUUCCUCAUCUCCCAGCCUCGACCCUGCCUGCGCUCGCCCCCUUGGGUCCUUUGAGUCUCAUCCAGAGCACUGGGCUGCCUUCCGGGGUGGGUGUUGACCCAAGCUCUGCUCCGCCUGGCCCUCAUGCUGCUGGUUGGAACCCGGGAUCCCUGGUCACUGGCUGCAGAUGAGUAACCUCCAGCCUCAAGGGCACUUGGCUGGAGUGAACAUGGUGCUUACGGCUCACUGUGGUGACCCAGGCAGAGACCAUGACGACUCUUGGUGUCAGGGUGAGAUUUCUGUGUGCUCCAUGAUGACUCGUGGAUAUUAAUAAAACAGUGAAGAACUGCAGCAGGAGGCCCUUGACUGUCCAAGGAACGCCCCACACCUACGACACCCACUGACUCUUGGACCAUGAAACCAGCCCUGCACCCUCAGACACUCCACCCAAAGCCAGUUAUGGCUUCCCCAGUGCCUGGACAUGGUGGGCCAGGACGCCAAGCCACAGCAGUGAGUUACGGCUCGUGCCAGCAUUGUGGGCAGCAGGCAGCCCCUGGGCCCAUCCAGCAGAUCCCGGGCCUGUCUCGGCCAGAGGCUGGCCCUCCAUACCCAGCCAGCAAAGGAGGAGGGGAGAGGCCCCGGGGUCCACCUGGAAGAGCCCUGACCCAGGCCUGAGAGUGACUCCUGCCCCUGCCCCCGAGCUUCCUGACCAUCCCCGUGACCUGGCGCCUCCCUGAGCUGUGGGUCCUGCUGCCAACUCUAGCUGUUCAUUGCACGUUGGCCAGAUACUGCCUGACCAGUUCCUGAGGCUCCGGGGGAUGGCUGAUGAGGGCACACAGGGCGGGAAAGGCUGCAGCGUGCAACACCUGAAGGGGGUGGGGGCAGGACGGAACCCAGCCCAGCCCAGGAGCCGCCCCUCACUCAGAGUCAGGUGGAGGGGAGGGCGGCUCCAAGCGCGCCUCUGCUGUGUGCCUGCUGUCCUGGGGCUGGGAGGCGUGGAAGGAGAGAGGGCCAACGCAGGGCCACCUGUAUGUGACUGGCUGGGGAAGAGGGACCCAGGCUGGAGCCACUGAAGGCUGGGAAGGGCUGGGACUCCGUGACUGGCAGAUCCCCCGGGGCACCCAGCCCUGCUCUGUGCCCUGGGCCCAGCCACCUCCAGGACAGACAGUGCCCCCAGUGCCCGCAAUCCCUAGCCACCUCCAGAAGGCACCCCCCGCCCCCAGCCAGCACCUGGCACCUCGGGCUGUGGCCACAGGAAAACAAAACCCGGCUGGUCCGAGGGACUGAGGGUCCCGGAGCCACCUGUCCCCGCCCCUGCCCCUACCGUGGCGUUGGAGCAGUUGAGCAGGCUGAUCGCGAGCAGGAACACCCAGCGGCGCGCGUAGGUGCGGUGGCCCCGCUGCGCGCACAGGGCCCGGGGCUCGGCCAACCCCGUCUCGGCCUCCGUCGGCCCCGCCAUCGUCGGCGGCCUCCACGGGUCUCCGCCGGUCCCGCCGGCCGCCCGGGCUUAAGGACCUUCCCGCGUGGGCCGGGACCGCCUGCGGGCGGAGGUGGGGCCGGGCCGGGCCGGGCCACGGGGGGCCAGUUCCGCCCCAAGGACUACGGAGGAGGGUCCCGCCCCGUCCCAGUUAAAGGAGACCCAAAAAAGCGGGGGAAGGGCGGGCAAAGGUGAAGUUGGACCCUCCUCCUUCGGCCUCAGGCUGGAAGUCCCUGCCACAAAAACCGAAUGUCCCUUCCGGGAAGGGCCCCGGUCACAGCCUGUGUGCUUCUCAGCAGGAAAGGCGGCCUGGAAGUCACUCUGCCCAGCAGAAGCUCUGCACUUCCUGAAGGGGGCUGUGGACCCCAAGUUCCUGAGGUUCAAGCCAGCCACAGGGAGGGGCCAGAGGCCAGCCUGGAAGAAGAGGCUGGGCUGGCUUUGCGCAGAGCCUCAAAUCAGACCAGUCCCUCUACAGCCCCUGCGGGAAGCAGGCAUGGGGUAGGAGGGCGAGGGGCUGCAGGCCAAGGCUGGAGGGAAGGCCAGAAAGGCCUGUGGGCCCCACCCUGGGGUAGGCAGUCCGCCACACACGCACCGGAUUGUUACCUGCAUUUUACAAUGGAGGACACGGCUCUCAGAGGAGUAGGCACAGGUUUCUGUUUGUUUAGGAUGGAGAGGCCUGUGUGUUGGAAGGCAGAGGAGGGAGUUUCGGCUUAGUCUUUUCUGCAAGAACCUGCUGAUCCCACAACUGUGCCUGGCCCACCCUGGGGGAACCCAAGAGGCUCCAGGCCCUGUUGCUGAGGCCAGUAUAGGGGUGGGGUGGAGGCUGGCCUGGUCAGACGUGCAAACAGGAUUUCCCCCAAACAGGGAGGCUCUCUUGACCCUUGAAACCAUCCCCGUUUCCUGAACAGUAUUAUUCGUGGUUUUUGUCUUAAACAUUCAUCUCCUUUGCCAGGGCCUGUCCAUUUUCCACACCUGAGUCUGAACAGGCUAAUGAUGAGGCCCCAGCUUUCACUGUGCAGUCUUCUGCAGGGAUUGUGUGUGUGUCUCAGAUAGAGCUCUCCACUUUGGGAUUUUUUUUUUUUUGUAGAGUCUCAUCCAGUAACAAAGAGAAAAUGGAGCUCACCCGGGGUGUCCUGAGAUGGGUGGGCCCCAAGGGGGUUCCAUUCUCUGAGACGUGUGAUGGAGCCCUGUGGUCCUCACUCUCUUUAUCUCCUCUGCCUUCCCCACCGUCUAGCCUCCCCCCUCAUCUUUGUUCCCCAUUCCCCCACCAGUUCCUUCUGUUCUCCUUCUCCUCACCUCUUGCUCGCCCUGCCCUGAGGACCCAGCCCCCUCACAACCUUCCUCCAUAGUCCAGUGCCAAUGUUGGCCUAGGGCCUUCAACAUCCCCUAACCCCACCUGGCAGAGGGGGAGUUGCAGUGCAGGCUUCCCUGUUGAGGGACCUCACUAUUGUGGAGCACUGCCUCUGACAGGUGGUGUCUGAGCCUGUCACCAUGAAAUGGGGCAGCCACAGUAGCUACCUCCAUCGUUCAGUCUCUGUUGAGCGUGCAUUGUCGAGGGGUGUCACCAUGAAACGGGGCAGCCACUGUAGCUACCUCCAUUGUUCAGUCUCUGUUGAGCGUGCAUUGUUGAGGGGCUCCUCCUCCCUACAUGUCGGAACUCUUGGGUUGAGCAGGUGAGCUCAGCAACAUUGCAGAAUGCAAGAUCAGCACACAACAAUCGCUUGCAUUGAUGUAUACCAACAAGAAACAUGAAAACCAAAGUUAAAGACAUUCAUAAUUACUCCAAGGAAAAUUAAAUACUUUGGUAUAAACUUAGCAAACCAUCUACAGAACUUGCAUGCUAAAAAUUACAAACCAUGGGCCGGGUGCGGUGGCUCACGCCUGUAAUCCCAGCACUUUGGGAGGCCAAGGCAGGUGGAUCACAAGGUCAGGAGUUCAAGACCAGCCUGGCCAACAUGGUGAAACCCAGUCUCUAGUAAAAAUACAAAAAUUAGCCAGGUGUGGUGACAUGCACCUGUAGUCCCAGCUAUUUGGGAGGCUGAGGUAAGAGAAUCUCGAACCCGGGAAGCAGAGGUUGCAGUGAGCUGAGAUCAUGCC